rnacentral:rRNA from 1 species
AGGACGAACGCUGGCGGCGUGCUUAACACAUGCAAGUCGAGCGGAAAGGCCCUUCGGGGUACUCGAGCGGCGAACGGGUGAGUAACACGUGAGCAACCUGCCCUUAGCUCUGGGAUAGCUCCGGGAAACCGGAAUUAAUACCGGAUACGACCUAGGCCGACAUCGGCCAUGGUGGAAAGUUUUUCGGCUAGGGAUGGACUCGCGGCCUAUCAGCUAGUUGGUGGGGUAAAGGCCUACCAAGGCGACGACGAGUA